UUGGCCUGUCGGGUAACGUCCCGAUAAACCACCGAUACACAGGAUCAAAUAAGGUUACCUCACACGAAGGUGAGUCCAGAGAUACAAUCACCAGCACGUUUUACAUCAUAGAGAAUUUCAUUACAAGAAUUUCCAAAAGAAGUAUGAAUUUUCAAAUCUACAGAAAGAUUACAACUGUAAAGCUAGGGUCAAAAGCAGCGGAAAACAUACGCGAAGAAUAACAACACGUCGUCAAGGUGGAUGUCAUGCUAAGCCCAGACACGACAUCACUCGAGAUCAUCAGUGUUGGUCGGGGACGGAUCCCAUUCGUCGGACCAAUCUUCUGGAAAAGCACAGGGCCAUGACAAGGAAACAGUAGGGUCUUCAAAGGCUUUACCUGAAAAACAUAAAGCUAGCAAGGCUGAGUAUACUAAUACUCAGCAAGGCUUACCCGGGAUUGGGUAUACUUAGCCCAUAACUAGACCUAUGAAAGCUUAUAAUGGUUCUGGGUUUAGUUUCAGCUGAAAAGCAACAAAGAGUAGAUCCUUAACUUCAAGUUUUAGCUUUCAGAUUCUAGUUAAUUAUCCAUUCUAGGUAAGCACCUAUAACUAAGCAAGCAUGGUAUAAUCUUUGGUCAAACAUCAUCUUUGAUAACCAUAAUAUUGCUCUUGUUACUCUAUGUGGAAAAGGGAUCAAGCAGUCUCAAUCUUCGUGAGAAGCGGACGAUUCGAAUCGAAUUUAACCUUGCAAGGUAAACCUAACACACACGCUUGGAACACCACAGGGUCAUUCCAAAGCAACCGUUUGCCUUUCAUUCCGACUCGUGGAUCAGAGCCACCACAAGCGACUGCAGGAACAUACGCACACCCAAUGUGUGCAGGACAUACGUCUGUAGCGCGACUACAAAACCCGUAUUCCUGGUUGCCCUUGCAACACGUAUUUCCCCAGUCGAACCAAGUAACCAAAAGAACCAAAUACAUGUGGUGGGAGGUAUGUCCACUCCUCGGGCCGAUUGGCUACUAGGCUUACCGCUUACCCAUAACUCACGGCAUGUGGCUAGUACUUUCAAACACUUAACCCGCACUUCCACACACUGCGACCUUAUCAGAUUCAUCAACACAGACGGGGUAUCAUCUCAGCCAUGAUACCGCACAAAACUCCCGUCCGGCAUCCUUAUAGUGGUAACAGGAAUGUAACAUUACAAUUCCAAUAUCGCGCGAGUGACAGGAAAUCACCCGACUUCUACCGGUCCUAUUAGCAUAGCAGCUAGUCGGACUCAAGUGCUAGUAUUCAUCACAUUGGUUCCUAGGGAAAAUGCAACUAGGGUUUUCAAGCAAUUCCUAAGAACUUAAUGCAUAGAAUACGUAAAUAGAUAUAGAUUGCAGUGUAAUAAAAUAGUAGGUUAUGUCCGGGGCUUGCCUUUACUGGUGAGUCUGAAGUUAGGAAUGUUAAUAUCUCCCGAACUUUGGUUCGGGGCUUCCGAUAUUCCCUUGGUGACAUUUACUUGAUCUUCAGAACAUCCUCCUUAAACUCCGGGGAGAUCUCGCAGGUACCGUUGCCGAACGUAGUCGUAUCUACAUGUAAUGCAACAUCACAUUCAAGUAUGCACUCAAAACUAUUUUACUUCACAACAAAGUUGUAAUCCAACACUCAUAUAACACACUAUUCACAUAACAAUCAAAAAGAUUUGAACUAAACUUAGACAGAGCUUUAGGAGGAACAACUAACUAGAAACAGCUACUUGUUGAGGGUUACAACAGAGUCGAUUGGAAACAAUGAGGGUUUAGCCGAUGGAAAGGUGCAUCGGUUCCUAGAUGAUUGAUGGAAGCGUCGAUUACUUUGGCAGAAGAAUGAUUCCUUAAGUGGUUGUGUCUUACUGAGAUGUGUUUAAGUGUUAUUCUAGAUAACUGGGUGUGAUUGAGGAUACAUGACUGAUAGAUAUAGAUAGCCGAUCUCUCAGUCGAUAAAUCGACUGAUAGAAAUGUGGGGAUAAGGAAGGGAAGACUAAGGAUCGAUCGGCCGUGUUUAACUGAUAUGGAAAAGCAACCAAAAUCGGCUUGGGUCAGCCGAUGGCAAGAAUCCUAAGAUCAUGGGUGUCUCGCCGAUACAUCGACUCCAUGCAGUCGAUGUAGGACAGAACAAAAGGACUGUAUCGGCAGUAGCCGAUAUAAGAAGGAUAACCAUCGGAUCAACUGACCAGCCGAGGGUAGAAGCAUCGACUGAUAGCUGUUACACAGGAAUGUCAUCGACUCAAGGAAAUGGAUGCUUAGCGGCUGAACCAGAAGCUGAUGUUGAAACGUAGCUGCAGAGAUGUAUAAGCUAAGCAAUAAAUGCACAUGAAUUAACAAAGACCUUUACACGAAGAGAAACUUAAGGAAACGGCAAACAAGAUAAGGAUAACGUCUUGACGGCAAGGAUAUGAGCACUCAUAUGGAAGGUUUAACGAAACAUACACACAUUUUUAUUUAGGACCUAUAUUCUAUGGUUUACUUUUCAGUUAUAACACAAGCACACAAUAUAAAACACAAUAAAACAUUCAUUCCCUAACAUUUGACCUAAACCACACAUCAAAGACUUUCACUCAAGAUCACAACAUAAAGCUUAUAGGUUUUGACUUAGGAUUCCAAACAAAAUUGAUUUUACAUUUUUAUGAAAUUCCUACGAAAAUCUAUGAAAUGUAGAAGUUCAUCGAUUUGAAAUACAGAAAGUUUUGGAAAUUUUAUAAAGAACACCCUAGAACUUUCUAAAACAUAGCAAUCAAUUUCCUGGUUCGGGAAAACAGAUAACAGGAAGUUAACGACGAUAUUCCGGCAAAGGAAUCGCCGGCAUUAGAAAGAUUCAAAGAAUCAGAGCAAACCUUGGUUGUGGAGAAGAACAAAUGGAAGAGAAUUCCCGGGGUGAAUAGGAUUGGCGAUGAUAAGAUGAGCUCGACGAUGACGAGAUUCCGUGGUUGACGAAGAAGUUCAUCGGGAAUUGUAGUGGUUAGAGAAUGGCCGAAGAAGUAGUUCUUGCGGCGAUUCGUGGUGAUAACGGUUGAGCGACCAAUGAAGGUAGGGGCUGCUGGACGUUGUGCCGUUUGCGGACUAACCGCUGUUAAAUCCGUGUUUCCGCCUCAACCACCUCGUGCUGUUGCUCCUCUUCCUCCUUAUCUGCUGGACCGGCGUUGCCUUGACCUUGUCGUGCUGCAUCGGCACACCGUUGCUCUGCACACCGUCGUAACAUCCGCCCGACGGCGUCUUGCACCCUUGACACCUCGCCCAACGGCAGGACCCUCGCGUCCUCCAGCAGCACGCGUAUCGGCAUUUCAUCGAACACUUGAGCUGCGUCCUUGAUACGGCCGUCGCGUUCCUGCAUCUCGCGCAGAAACACUUCACCGCAACUCCUCCUGCGCGUGCCGUUGCUCGGCACGUCGCACUCCAACACUAUCUGCUCGUGCCCAUGGGUCCGUUCUUCUCCGGCCGCUCAACACCUGCCCAUACCGCCAACUCCCGCGUGCCACCACGCACAUGCUCGCGCCACUCGCUCGGUGCCGCCCAUGUUCCUGCCGCUCCAGCACCUGCACCGACUCCGCCGCGCACGUGCUGCUUUACCCGUGCGCCCGCAUCUGCCGCACCCUCACCGGCUCCCUGUAUCCGCGCUCCCGCUGAGCCGCCCGUGCACACCGUGUCGCCCUGCCCGCGUGACUGCUCCAUCCGUACGCCUGCGUCAGCGCCCGCACCAUCUUGCCUGCUGCCGUAGCCACUCCCGGGCUAGCUCUGCUCUCGCUCAUCCAUACGCGCUGCGCACUGGCGCCUACGACCGCUAGCUCUCCAAUGCCCCACAUCCACACGCCGUUCCGGCUCACGCCACCUGAGCCACUCCGCUCCACCCCACGCGCCGCAACCGCCGCUAGGGCUUGCCUGCUCCCACGCGCAUCUCAUCUGCGCGCCCACGGCUAGUGCCGCGCGCCGCUCGCCCCACCUGGGCCUGCUCUACCUACCCAAGCUGCUGGCUCACCUCCGGCUCCCGCGCUACUCCCGAGCCACCGCGCGCUCCGCGCCAGCUACAUCGUCUAGGGCCACGCUCGCCUAGAGCCGAGCCACCUGCUGCCAUGCGCUCGCUCAGGCGCCGUUCCGCCUCACUCCGGUCUCACGCGUCUUCGCUCACCCGCACUCGGGCCGAGCUGCCGUCGCUCCAACGCCCAGCGCCUGGGCCGCGCGUCCGUGCGCUCCGCCCGCGUGGGCCGCUCGCCGCUCGGGUUGGU
rnacentral:lncRNA from 1 species